GAUGAACGCUGACAGAAUGCUUAACACAUGCAAGUCAACUUGAAUUUGGGUUUUUAACUUAGGUUUGGGUGGCGGACGGGUGAGUAACGCGUAAAGAACUUGCCUCACAGCUAGGGACAACAUUUGGAAACGAAUGCUAAUACCUAAUAUUAUGAUAAUAGGGCAUCCUAUAAUUAUGAAAGCUAUAAGCGCUGUGAGAGAGCUUUGCGUCCCAUUAGCUAGUUGGAGAGGUAACGGCUCACCAAGGCGAUGAUGGGUAGCCGGUCUGAGAGGGUGAUCGGCCACAAGGGGACUGAGACACGGCCCUUACGCCUACGGGAGGCAGCAGUGGGGAAUAUUGGACAAUGGACCGAGAGUCUGAUCCAGCAAUUCUGUGUGCACGAUGAAGUUUUUCGGAAUGUAAAGUGCUUUCAGUUGGGAAGAAACAAAUGACGGUACCAACAGAAGAAGAGACGGCUAAAUACGUG
rnacentral:rRNA from 1 species